rnacentral:RNase_P_RNA from 2 species
CCAGAGGGCCGGGCGGCCGCGGCGUGGCGGGUAACUUCCACGGCGAGGAAAGUCCGGGCUCCACGAAAUGACGGUGCCGGCUAACGGCCGGCGGGGGCGACCCCAGGGACAGUGCAACAGAAAGCAGGUCGCCACGGUUUCGGCCAGGCGAAAUUGAAAGGGUGCGGUAAGAGCGCACCGCGUCCCCGGCAACGGCGGACGGCACGGUAAACCCCACCGGGAGCAAGACCGAAUAGGGGCGGCGCGCGGACGCAAGUCCGCUAGGCAUGUUUCGGCCGAGACCGCCCGGGUUGGUUGCUUGAGCCGCGCAGCAAUGCACGGCCUAGAGGAAUGGCCGUCGCUCUCCUUCGGGGGAGCACAGAACCCGGCUUACAGGCCCUCUGGCAAU